rnacentral:snRNA from 1 species
GGAUGUGAGGGUGCUCUGGCUGGGACAACUGUCAGCCCAUUGAUACAGCAGGGUUGGUUUGGCUGAUAUGGCUGGCUGGGCGGGUGUCCCCUUCCUCCAUCACCACUCCAUGUGCGUCCUCUCAAAGCUGCAUGCUGGGUCAGAGAGGAGAACCACUCCCAAGAGAGGAGGACCAUUCCCGGUCAAGGGUAUACAAAUAGCUGUGCUCCUCUGCUAUGACCUCCCAACAGGCUCCCAAAUCAACCAUCCAUCAAUAUGUCCAAAUAUUUCCACCAAAGAGUUUGCAGUGAAUUUACCUUUCCUUUUGUUCAAAUUGCUUAUACUGAAUCAAUGAAAGCCAAUU